rnacentral:tRNA from 2 species
GGUGCUUAGCUCAGUCUGGCAGAGCAGCAGGCUUAUAUCCUGCGUGUCCUGGGUUCGAAUCCCAGAGUACCCACCA